rnacentral:rRNA from 1 species
GACGAACGCUGGCGGCGUGCUUAACACAUGCAAGUCGAACGGAAAGGCCCUGCUUUUGUGGGGUGCUCGAGUGGCGAACGGGUGGGUAACACGUGAGUAACCUGCCCUUGACUUUGGGAUAACUUCAGGAAACUGGGGCUAAUACCGGAUAGGAGCUCCUGCUGCAUGGUGGGGGUUGGAAAGUUUCGGCGGUUGGGGAUGGACUCGCGGCUUAUCAGCUUGUUGGUGGGGUAGUGGCUUACCAAGGCUUUGACGGGUAGCCGGCCUGAGAGGGUGACCGGCCACCUUGGGACUGAGAUACGGCCCAGACUCCUACGGGAGGCAGCAGUGGGGAAUAUUGCACAAUGGGCGGAAGCCUGAUGCAGAAACGCCGCGUGCGGGAUGACGGCCUUCGGGUUGUAAACCGCUUUCGCCUGUGACGAAGCGUGAGUGACGGUAAUGGGUAAAGAAGCACCGGCUAACUACGUG